rnacentral:misc_RNA from 1 species
UCUCUUUUCAAAGAGAAUUUAUCUCCACUGGAAAAAAUUAAUAUUAACAUGAUCUCUCAAGUUCCUCUUGAUGUUAUGCAUUUAAUCGAUUUAGGGGNCAUGCGAAAGUUUAUUUUACGAGUAAUAAAUAAUAAAUCAAAUUACAAAUUUAAAAAAGAAACUAAAUUGUAUUUAUCCAAAAAAAUAGUAGCGUUAUCUUCGUACAUCACCAGGGAAUUUGUUCGUAAACCAAGAACUGUAGAUGAAAUAGCGAAUUGGAAAGCGAUUGAGUUCUGCAUGUUUCUUUUUUAUUAUGGAAUUUAUGUCCUCAAAGAUGAGCUUCCGGGUGAUGUAUAUUAUGAAUUCCUCCUAUUGCAUUGCGCGUGUAGGUUAUUAUUCUGCCCAAAAAACUAUAACUCUAACAUUGAUGUAGCGGGAAAUAUGUUAAAGUUAUUCGUGGAAAAUUUUGCUGUUGUGUUUGGGGAAAACAGUAUUUCGUGCAAUGUACACUCCCUUCUUCAUAUUUCAGAAGACGUUAAAGAGCUAGGUAUUCCAUCGAGUUACUCUGCAUAUUCCUUUGAAAACCACUUACAAAUUUUGAAGUCAUAUGUGAAAAAACCGACACAAAUAUUACAACAAAUACAUAAUAUGAUGAAACAUGAAGAAAUUGUGGUGGCCCCAAAAUUUACUGGUUUUAAAAUAAAAAAUAACAUUAUAGUGAGUUUUAAUUUUAAAGAAUUUNUGUUAUCUAAUAAAAGCCCAAAUAGUUACUGUUCCGUAAAACCAUUUCAGUACAUAAGAAUUGAGGAAUUUAAAGACAUUAACAGCAAAGUUAUCAAAGGAAAGAGAUUUUUACACCUAGAAAGCUAUUUCNCAGAGCCCAUUGAUUCGUAUACUAUGGGAAUAUGUACUGCGGACCAUAUUCUGUCAUCUGAUAUAGAGGAGUUUUCUCUGGAUGAUGUAGAGUAUAUAUUAAUGUGUAUCCCUUCUUAUUCCAAUAUUACAUACUUGCAUGUAACCUUCGUUUAUUGUAAUAGUUAAUUUUUUAUCAUUUUUUUUAUGGAAACAAUUACUAAUUUUUCUUUUUUUCUUGAGCAUUUCAAAAAAUAUGGAGCACCAAAUCCCAAAACGUCGACCACAGCAAUUCCAAUGAAAAAGGCAAAAUAUGGCAUUGACACUGCCCACCUUGGACAAAACAUUAGUGUAUNCAGUGAAUGCACUAUAGAAUCACGUGGGAUCAGCGUUUCAACGUCNGCCACUAAAUAUACCAUUUAAAUUUAUUGUUUUAGAAUCCAACCAAGGCGUGUUUGAAGUUG